rnacentral:sRNA from 1 species
AUCAAGAAUCACAACUGCAUAUAUGUGUUAUGUUACGGAAGGAGAUGCACGUAUGAAGUACUGAACAGCUGACUGAUGACUUUAGAUAGAACCGACAUAGGAUACAAUUCAUGAACGAAUUUUAGAAACAAGUUUGCUGCGCAAAGAACUGGGGAAGGGGGAGGGGGAGCGCCAUCCCCCCCCCCCCCCCCCCCGGCCCCUUCCCUAAUGGUACGCGCCUGAUUUAAAUAGACAAUUUUUGUUAGCUUGAUAGGUUUUAUGCUGUUUCGAAAAUUGCCUUUAUGACAAAACGAAAAAAAAUAUCAUGAUUUUGUUGAUAUAUAUAUAUAUAUACUGUACUCUUAAAUGAGUGGUCGCCAUUAGAUACCAAAUAUAGUAGUUUUAAAUAUCAACUCAUCUCCCCCUUAAAUUAAAAUUUAAUUAUACAUUAACGGAAAGAAAAACAAGGCUGUUGUUUGAUGCACAUUUAGAUUAAGUGGGUUACAGAAAAUUGAAAACGGUCUUUAUACAUAGCUUAAGGAAAAGUAUUAAGAAUACGAUGCGAUUGUGAAAUCUGCUAGCUUGUCACUUGCAUUUUGAUCAUUGAAAGUGUCUAUGAACCCAUCCGGAAUAUUGACCAUUAAUUUAUCUCCUCCUCUCCAAAACAGAGGGACACCGUGACCAUUCUCUCCAUUCCAAAGCCUGGCAUAUCGACCACCAUCUGUCCAAUCUGGGUGCAGCUCUUGUCGGUGACGUAACGAGGGUCCUUUUCAGUAGAUUUGAAAAGCCUUACCUUCAUUUUCCUCAUGUCAGCUCGAUGUGCGAAGACCUCGGUGGAGACAGGUUCAUCUAAUUCGAACGACUGUCCGAUUUCUGCAAGUUUAUUGAAUACAUUUUUGCAAUAUGGCUGUCCGUCUUCUUCGAUUUUGUGCUGGGGGUCAUCGUAGUCUGUCAUGAAAUAACGUAUGACGUUGGUUCCCAUAACCAAAUGCGACUACUUCCUUAUUAGACUUCAACAGAAGGACCGUCGGUGUCUUGAAAGUCGCUUGCGACGGUCCUACAAUGGGUGACCACAUCAAACUGUUGAUACGGAGAGGGUACUUUUCAAACUCCCUGGUGAAAGACCAAGCUAUUCCUGAAUACGUUGUACCAAAAUCCAGAGCGGCCACAAGAAGAAUCUCAUUUGAUAACGCUGUAGUGUCUGUAUGUUCCUCUGUAGGUUGACUACAGGGAGGUAUCCAUAUCCCUGCUGGUUCGUCAGACAUUUUGCGACAACGAACGGUUCAGUUUUACUCGGUGACAAAGUUUUAAAUCUAAAUACGGAUAUGAUCUGUAAGAGAAGAAUUAAAACGAAACUAGCUCUGUUUAUUUCCAGACGUAUUUAUACCAUGUUGAUAUUCUUUCAAUACACCAGUGUAUAUAAAACUGCAUUAGAUAAUUUUAUACGUUUAACCUGUAUUUGUGACAUACGUUCACUUCGCAAAAUAUGUAUAUAUGUUUUAUGUAAGAAAGCGAAACUUGUUUUAUUUACAUAUCCAUUGAAUUUACAAAGCAAAUCGUUUAACAUUAUGUAUGAAUAAAAAAUCAUAAUUCAAAAUUUAAGCAAUUUCAACGUUCUGAAUCAAACAUUAUAUUUAACAUUAUGAUUCUUACCUUUCUAACAUCUUUAAUUUAUUCAGAUAUGUAUUUCAAAUCGAAAGUGAAAAAAAACCCACCUUACUACAUGUACCAGUUCGAACUAAUCAAUAUAUUGGACAUUUAAACUGCAUCAAGCUUUUUUUUUAAAUACACGAAUCUCCCAGUUGGAUAUAUGCUCCACGGAUAUCGACCUACAAAAGAUUAAAUAUGGAACUGAUUGGUACAUGUACCAAGAACACUCUGGCUGACAAUGGUUUUGAUAUAUAUGAUCUUAGUUAUCCUAAUUUAGAUAACUAUUGUAUAUCUAUAUUUUAGAAAAAAAAGAAUAAUAAAGUUUUCCUCACUAAC